ensembl:lncRNA
AUCUGAACCAUUGUAAAAGUUGCAGUUCAAGGGCCUGAGGUAUGAAAUUCUUUUCAGAUCAGCUGUGAUCAAUAUUUUUUGGAACUUGAUAAAUAACAAUAAAAGCUGUAAUGGCUCCAUUAGCAUUUUGUGUAAAUGUUUGUGUUAAAAUUAUAGCUUUAAUGAGGUCUUUCUACAUUAGUUUCAGUUAUAAAGUAUGUAUAUGUGUACAUAUAGUAUGUAUAUUUACAGUACAGUAUGUUGUGUUUGUUGACAUGUUUUCAGGUGGAAGCAGAAUUUGUGAGGAUUACUACUGCUCCACUUGUUCCAAGGCUUUUUGCACAACUUGACCAAUACACUGACCAGCUCAUAAAAGUCUUCAAGAAAAAAGGAGGCGCUGCAGUGAAGAAAAUUAGACAAAUUUUGGCCCCAGCCACACAGGAAACUAUUGAAAAGGGGAGGGAGUGUGUCCUCAGGGCACUACCUUUUUACCUGAAUGAAGACCCAAGCAUCCUCUUCAAAGAAUAAUUGCUACAGCUACAGCUGUUCAGAGGGAGCUGGAACAAAUUACCCUUGCUAUCUUCACCAUCGAAAAAGCUGAUGUCAGCACUCCUCCAGUCGAUGUGGGUAUAACCAUCUAGGGUGUUCUGCAUGACCUGGAAAACAUGGCCUCUGCAUGUGCACUCUUAAUGGAUGGGAUAUAUGCACUGAAUCGCAGUUAACCUCGAGACUGAAAGCUUUCUUUGAAGUACUUCAGAAGCUCUUCCUUCAUCUGUAUGUCAGCAGACUCUUGACCAAGGUACAGAUACUCAAGAAUAAACUGAAUGAAUAUGCCAACCCUUAAUUUGGAUGAUGAAUGUUCUGUCAGAUGGACAGAAGUUUUUCAGAGGCUGAAUGGGAAUAAAAUGGUAAUUUGUUGAAAAUGACAGAUAAAGGGAAAAUUACAUUUAAGAAAAAUUUUGAAAAGUUUGUAAACUACUACAAUUUGAGAGAUUUUACUCUUGUGGGGGAAGGGGGGGCUAGUAAGAGACAAUCAAAAGUAUUGAGAUUUAAAGGAUUUAAUUGAGAGAUGAUACUGCACCAGAAAUGUUGAAGGGUGGUGUGUAUAUUAGCAUAUUGUUAUGAGGUGGAAAUAUGUUCAUAUUCUGUUUGUGUUACAUUGUGUGCAUUGUAAAGGUAAUUGCAAUACAUGCUAAGAAUAAGGGUAAGUUAGGAAUGCAGGAUGAAUGUAUAUUUUGCGGGCUUUUAAAGACGAACAAUUGUUUCCAUGUUAAAAUGUUUACAACCCAAGGUUUUUGCCCAAACACUGGUAAAAUAAACGUUGAGGGUGGCAAGUGUUAAAUGGUUACUGCUGUGCUGUUGCAAAAAAACUGAACGCUGACAAGCUGUUUUAUUGUUAGAUCAUAAUGCUGGCAUGCUUUAUUUAAGUUUUAUUUGGGAUGGUGAUAUAAUUUUCUUUGAUUGCUAAUAUCAGUGGACUAUUUAUUAUUAUUAUUAUUAUUAUUGUUAUUACAACAUUAAUUUUUUAAAAUUGUGGCUGUUGAGGUGGACACUUCACUUUGCAUUGUUAAAGGAAAGCACUUCAUUGGCGUUGUGUUACUGGACUGACCCUAAGCAAUCAUUGCAAAUAGCAACUUUGCUAUCCAUUUUAGACACUAAAAGAAAAAACACUCCACAGACCUUACUAGCAUCACAUGUGCAUAACUCAAGUGUCCUCUUAUCAACAUGUUAUGUGGUCUUCAAUGUUUUUUUUCUUCUAUUUCUGGCAGAUACAGACAUUUAAUUUAAAGUCUUGAUGUUGCAUCUGUCUACAUACUGUUAGUUACUAACCCUAAUGACCUGUCGUGUUUUAUUUUGGACUGGGUUUACACAAAUGCUCACUGAAUGUGUUGGCAAUAAAAGAAAUUUUAAAAAAUAAGUUGGAUGUACUUAAUUCAUUUGUGUGGAACCUGUUGACAAAAUAGAUUUAUGUAAAACUAAUUAGUAAAGCACAAGGUGGCUGAAAAUAUAAUAUUUGAAUUAAUCUAACUUAAAUUUAACAUUUUACUGCCACAAAUAAGAAAUGUGUUGAAGUAACUAAUCUAA